rnacentral:sRNA from 1 species
AGCAGCCGCGGUAAUUCCAGCUCCAAUAGCGUAUAUUAAAGUUGUUGCAGUUAAAAAGCUCGUAGUUGAAUUUCGGGAUUAAUUUACUGGUCGUGCUAUUGUACGUACUGGUUUUAUUGAUUCCUCCCUUCUGACGAACUAUGAUGUCAUUAAUUUGGUGUCUUAGGGAAUCAGGACUGUUACUUUGAAAAAUUGAGUGUUUAAAGCAGGCUCACGCUUGAAUACAUUAGCAUGGAAUAACGGAAUAGGACGUUUGAUUCUAUUUUGUUGGUUUCUAGGAUCGACGUAAUGAUUAAUAGGGAUGGUUGGGGGCAUUAGUAUUCAAUUGUCAGAGGUGAAAUUCUUGGAUUUAUUGAAGACUAACUACUGCGAAAGCAUUUGCCAAGGAUGUUUCAUUAAUCAAGAACGAAAGUUAGGGGAUCGAAGA